CCUCUCGGAAGCUCCUGUCUGUGAAGGGUGUGCACAGAGAGCUUCGGUAGCCUGCGAAGCAGCCAUCUUCACUUCCACGGAGCAGAUGCUGGCCUGGGUGCUGGAAUGUGGAAAUGAGGAAGAUCCUGCCUGAGGAUUUCAUGACAGUGCUGCGAUUACAGACAUGAGCCACUGUGCCCAGCCUCACUUUAAAAAAAAAAAAAAAAGGUUAUGAAGCAUCUCAACACAAGACCUCCUUUGCUCAUCACAACCACCCAGUGAAGCAGGCAAGACAACAGAAACUCCCCACCUGUGAUAGAUGUGAGGCCUGAAGUCUCCCACGUACCCACGGCAGAUGCAACGCACAGCGGUGACCAAUGGUAGGGAUAACAAGUAUUGCUUCCGCCCAUUCAGUACUUCUUGUGUGCCAGAUCUGUGCUAAGUGCUAGAUGAACACAGUCUCUUUUCAUUCUCAUAGCUCUUUAAAACAGGUAUUGUUUUCUUUUAAAAAAUUGUUUUGUUAAAUAUAAGUAUCAUGUACCUUAUAUAUAUAUUAUAUAUAAAAAUACAUGUAAUUUACCAUUUUAACCCUUUCAAAAUGUCCAGUUCAGGAGCAUUAAGUACAGUCACAUUGUUGUGCUA
rnacentral:lncRNA from 1 species